rnacentral:rRNA from 1 species
GGGCCCGCACAAGCGGUGGAGCAUGUGGUUUAAUUCGAUGCAACGCGAAGAACCUUACCUGGUCUUGACAUCCUGCGAACUUUCUAGAGAUAGAUUGGUGCCUUCGGGAACGCAGUGACAGGUGCUGCAUGGCUGUCGUCAGCUCGUGUUGUGAAAUGUUGGUUAAGUCCCGUAACGAGCGCAACCCUUAUCCUUAUUUGCCAGCACUUCGGGUGGGAACUCUAAGGAGACUGCCGGUGACAAACCGGAGGAAGGUGGGGACGACGUCAAGUCAUCAUGGCCCUUACGACCAGGGCUACACACGUGCUACAAUGGUAAGUACAAAGGGACGCGAAGCGGCGACGUGAAG